rnacentral:rRNA from 1 species
UGGGGAAUUUUGGACAAUGGGCGCAAGCCUGAUCCAGCAAUGCCGCGUGCAGGAAGAAGGCCUUCGGGUUGUAAACUGCUUUUGUACGGAACGAAACGGUCUGGGUUAAUACCCUGGGCUAAUGACGGUACCGUAAGAAUAAGCACCGGCUAACUACGUGCCAGCAGCCGCGGUAAUACGUAGGGUGCAAGCGUUAAUCGGAAUUACUGGGCGUAAAGCGUGCGCAGGCGGUUUUGUAAGACAGGCGUGAAAUCCCCGGGCUCAACCUGGGAAUUGCGCUUGUGACUGCAAGGCUGGAGUGCGGCAGAGGGGGAUGGAAUUCCGCGUGUAGCAGUGAAAUGCGUAGAUAUGCGGAGGAACACCGAUGGCGAAGGCAAUCCCCUGGGCCUGCACUGACGCUCAUGCACGAAAGCGUGGGGAGCAAACAGGAUUAGAUACCCUGGUAGUCCACGCCCUAAACGAUGUCAACUGGUUGUUGGGUCUCUUCUGACUCAGUAACGAAGCUAACGCGUGAAGUUGACCGCCUGGGGAGUACGGCCGCA